rnacentral:misc_RNA from 1 species
GUUGCGGCUCUGGUGUUCACUCGUGGUUGAUUGUGUUGCAGUACCCGUUUAGCGGUAUUCAUGUGCCUCUUAAGACCUGUUCCAUCCAGACCCCAUCUAGGGGCUGCUGGGGGGUUCGAAAGUGAUGCGUGUUUUGCGUUAGCUGUGCGUUGUAACGGCUCGCGUGCUCACACGUGUCUAUUGUUUCCUCGGAUGCGGUGCAUGCGGUGAACGUGGGUGAUGACUGUGCCCCGUUGAGUCCCUUUGAUUUAUCGGUUGCCUUGAAUGACACUUUGCCGUAGUGCUAGUGUUGCUUUACCAUUCGUGGUGGCAACACUUUCACGUCGAGCUUAGUCGUUGAUGGAUGCUACCUGGUUGAUCCUG